rnacentral:rRNA from 1 species
GGGUUGUGAGGUUAAGCGACUAAGCGUACACGGUGGAUGCCCUGGCAGUCAGAGGCGAUGAAGGACGUGCUAAUCUGCGAUAAGCGUCGGUAAGGUGAUAUGAACCGUUAUAACCGGCGAUUUCCGAAUGGGGAAACCCAGUGUGUUUCGACACACUAUCAUUAACUGAAUCCAUAGGUUAAUGAGGCGAACCGGGGGAACUGAAACAUCUAAGUACCCCGAGGAAAAGAAAUCAACCGAGAUUCCCCAGUAGCGGCGAGCGAACGGGGAGCAGCCCAGAGCCUGAAUCAGUAUGUGUGUUAGUGGAAGCGUCUGGAAAGGCGCGCGAUACAGGGUGACAGCCCCGUACACAAAAAUGCACAUGCUGUGAGCUCGAUGAGUAGGGCGGGACACGUGGUAUCCUGUCUGAAUAUGGGGGGACCAUCCUCCAAGGCUAAAUACUCCUGACUGACCGAUAGUGAACCAGUACCGUGAGGGAAAGGCGAAAAGAACCCCGGCGAGGGGAGUGAAAAAGAACCUGAAACCGUGUACGUACAAGCAGUGGGAGCACGCUUAGGCGUGUGACUGCGUACCUUUUGUAUAAUGGGUCAGCGACUUAUAUUCUGUAGCAAGGUUAACCGAAUAGGGGAGCCGAAGGGAAACCGAGUCUUAACUGGGCGUUAAGUUGCAGGGUAUAGACCCGAAACCCGGUGAUCUAGCCAUGGGCAGGUUGAAGGUUGGGUAACACUAACUGGAGGACCGAACCGACUAAUGUUGAAAAAUUAGCGGAUGACUUGUGGCUGGGGGUGAAAGGCCAAUCAAACCGGGAGAUAGCUGGUUCUCCCCGAAAGCUAUUUAGGUAGCGCCUCGUGAAUUCAUCUCCGGGGGUAGAGCACUGUUUCGGCAAGGGGGUCAUCCCGACUUACCAACCCGAUGCAAACUGCGAAUACCGGAGAAUGUUAUCACGGGAGACACACGGCGGGUGCUAACGUCCGUCGUGAAGAGGGAAACAACCCAGACCGCCAGCUAAGGUCCCAAAGUCAUGGUUAAGUGGGAAACGAUGUGGGAAGGCCCAGACAGCCAGGAUGUUGGCUUAGAAGCAGCCAUCAUUUAAAGAAAGCGUAAUAGCUCACUGGUCGAGUCGGCCUGCGCGGAAGAUGUAACGGGGCUAAACCAUGCACCGAAGCUGCGGCAGCGACGCUUAUGCGUUGUUGGGUAGGGGAGCGUUCUGUAAGCCUGCGAAGGUGUGCUGUGAGGCAUGCUGGAGGUAUCAGAAGUGCGAAUGCUGACAUAAGUAACGAUAAAGCGGGUGAAAAGCCCGCUCGCCGGAAGACCAAGGGUUCCUGUCCAACGUUAAUCGGGGCAGGGUGAGUCGACCCCUAAGGCGAGGCCGAAAGGCGUAGUCGAUGGGAAACAGGUUAAUAUUCCUGUACUUGGUGUUACUGCGAAGGGGGACGGAGAAGGCUAUGUUGGCCGGGCGACGGUUGUCCCGGUUUAAGCGUGUAGGCUGGUUUUCCAGGCAAAUCCGGAAAAUCAAGGCUGAGGCGUGAUGACGAGGCACUACGGUGCUGAAGCAACAAAUGCCCUGCUUCCAGGAAAAGCCUCUAAGCAUCAGGUAACAUCAAAUCGUACCCCAAACCGACACAGGUGGUCAGGUAGAGAAUACCAAGGCGCUUGAGAGAACUCGGGUGAAGGAACUAGGCAAAAUGGUGCCGUAACUUCGGGAGAAGGCACGCUGAUAUGUAGGUGAAGCGACUUGCUCGUGGAGCUGAAAUCAGUCGAAGAUACCAGCUGGCUGCAACUGUUUAUUAAAAACACAGCACUGUGCAAACACGAAAGUGGACGUAUACGGUGUGACGCCUGCCCGGUGCCGGAAGGUUAAUUGAUGGGGUUAGCGCAAGCGAAGCUCUUGAUCGAAGCCCCGGUAAACGGCGGCCGUAACUAUAACGGUCCUAAGGUAGCGAAAUUCCUUGUCGGGUAAGUUCCGACCUGCACGAAUGGCGUAAUGAUGGCCAGGCUGUCUCCACCCGAGACUCAGUGAAAUUGAACUCGCUGUGAAGAUGCAGUGUACCCGCGGCAAGACGGAAAGACCCCGUGAACCUUUACUAUAGCUUGACACUGAACAUUGAGCCUUGAUGUGUAGGAUAGGUGGGAGGCUUUGAAGUGUGGACGCCAGUCUGCAUGGAGCCGACCUUGAAAUACCACCCUUUAAUGUUUGAUGUUCUAACGUUGACCCGUGAUCCGGGUUGCGGACAGUGUCUGGUGGGUAGUUUGACUGGGGCGGUCUCCUCCUAAAGAGUAACGGAGGAGCACGAAGGUUGGCUAAUCCUGGUCGGACAUCAGGAGGUUAGUGCAAUGGCAUAAGCCAGCUUGACUGCGAGCGUGACGGCGCGAGCAGGUGCGAAAGCAGGUCAUAGUGAUCCGGUGGUUCUGAAUGGAAGGGCCAUCGCUCAACGGAUAAAAGGUACUCCGGGGAUAACAGGCUGAUACCGCCCAAGAGUUCAUAUCGACGGCGGUGUUUGGCACCUCGAUGUCGGCUCAUCACAUCCUGGGGCUGAAGUAGGUCCCAAGGGUAUGGCUGUUCGCCAUUUAAAGUGGUACGCGAGCUGGGUUUAGAACGUCGUGAGACAGUUCGGUCCCUAUCUGCCGUGGGCGCUGGAGAACUGAGGGGGGCUGCUCCUAGUACGAGAGGACCGGAGUGGACGCAUCACUGGUGUUCGGGUUGUCAUGCCAAUGGCACUGCCCGGUAGCUAAAUGCGGAAGAGAUAAGUGCUGAAAGCAUCUAAGCACGAAACUUGCCCCGAGAUGAGUUCUCCCUGACUCCUUGAGAGUCCUGAAGGAACGUUGAAGACGACGACGUUGAUAGGCCGGGUGUGUAAGCGCAGCGAUGCGUUGAGCUAACCGGUACUAAUGAACCGUGAGGCUUAACCUUACAACGCCGAAG